rnacentral:rRNA from 1 species
AUUGAACGCUGGCGGAAUGCUUUACACAUGCAAGUCGAGCGGCAGCGCGGCCUUCGGGCUGGCGGCGAGCGGCGAACGGGUGAGUAAUGCAUCGGAGCAUGCCCAGUCGGGGGGGAUAACACUUCGAAAGAAGUGCUAAUACCGCAUACGUCCUGAGGGGGAAAGCGGGGGAUCGCAAGACCUCGCGCGAUUGGAGUGGCCGAUGUCAGAUUAGCUAGUUGGUGGGGUAAAGGCCUACCAAGGCGACGAUCUGUAGCUGGUCUGAGAGGAUGAUCAGCCACACUGGGACUGAGACACGGCCCAGACUCCUACGGGAGGCAGCAGUGGGGAAUUUUGGACAAUGGGGGCAACCCUGAUCCAGCCAUUCCGCGUGAGUGAAGAAGGCCUUCGGGUUGUAAAGCUCUUUCGGCAGGAACGAAACGGUGGGCUCUAACAUAGUCCGCUAAUGACGGUACCUGAAGAAGAAGCACCGGCUAACUACGUG